UUCGCGGCUCAGUCAGUCGUCGUUCGAGCAUUAGGCAACAUUUAAUUUUAAUUUUAAUAUUUAAGUAGCUCUAAGUGUACAUAACACGAACAAACGAACAACGGAAAGUCAAGCAAGAAUCAAUCAGCAUCAAAAUCAGACAAACGAAACACGAAGAGUUACAAAAAGAAAUUUAACUAAAAAAAGCUACGCAUAUUGAAUGUGCUACUUCGAACAAUUGAAACGAAACGAACCCUUGAAGAAACAAACCGUGCAAAGUGAAUCAUCCCAACAGUAAACCAUAUAGCGGGGAAUCGCGCACAGAAAAAAAUAAGGACAAACGGUCUUUUAAUUUAAUUUCGAAGUAAAAAGCAAACGAAACACUUUUUACUACAAUUUAACUGCGAAACAAACGUUCAACGAAAUACGAAAGCAAGUGCAAGUGUUCUGGUGAACAGUUUUUCGAAUUACGAUUUUAAGUGUACGUGUUCUUUUUUUGUCAUUUAUUCAUUGCGAAAUUCGAAAGCUCUGCAAGCAAAGGGGGGAAGUAUUAGUAACUUCCUCUAAUACAUAGUGAGUGUGAAAACCUUCAACCCGCAAUAAAACUAGCAACAGUGUGACAGCAUCCUGUUUAUGUGAUAAGUUCAAGAAAGGAUAUAAUUUUCCAACUACAAACCAUUUUACUUAAAAAAGAAUACACCGUGACAAAAAGUGCGAUUCUCUCGACGGGACAGACAGAAAGGAAUAGAAUAAAACAAAAAAAAAACGCGUGUGUAGAACUGUGAUAAUAGCACGCAAUUGACCAAAGGUGGGCAGUGUUGGGUGUGAGCUGAAAGAGGGCACAAACACAAAAUAAAAUAAAAAAAACCCAACCCAACGGUGCAAAGAACCUAAAGCAAAAAAUCGCAACCGUGCGUGCGUGCGUGCGUGAAGUGUCGUCGUCGGUGGUGUUUAGGUAAAAAUAAUUGAAAUCCGUACCACCCGGGCCCUGCGAUUGCGAGCAAACGUGCAAACGCAUUGGAUCUGUUCUGGUGACCGAUUGUGAAGUGUUAAUAGGUUACUUCCAACCACACCCAGCAUAACCGGUGGACGGAGGUAAAAAAUUGGAUCGAUUUGUCCACGACACAACGCCCCAAAAGUCCAACACCCUCGGCACGACACACUGAGCUCUAUAGAAAAACAACAACAAGGACAAGUCAUCAUCCAUCCUGUUGGAACGGUGCGAAAUUAAAGUUACAAAGCCCACCGGUGCAUAUGAAUCGUGUGCCGAACAUUGAAUUUAUCCACCACUAGAGAGUGAGAGGGACACAAGAAACAAGAGUAAACUCCAGUGCGAGGAAGUUAGUGUUAAAAUUAAAAUUUAAAUGUACUGCCUACGUGAAGAGUCUCAGCAUACGUAUCAGCAGCAAAAGCAGCAGCUACACCAGGACGUUUAUGAUCUGUAAUAAGCAGUGGAUUUAGCAUCAAACCUUAGCGAUGGAGAAAAUUGAACAACCCACGAGCGUCUCGGCUGGUACGGUGGAGACAAUGCUCAAAAAUGCUUCCACUUCGGAACAGGUGGCGAAAAAUGAAGGUAAAGCAGACACAGCGGAGUACUGUGACAACGUGAAAGAAACGAACGUGCGACAAAAGCGUAAGAAAGCGUCAGAAAAGAUCGAUGCGAGCGGUGUUACCGAUGUCAAGCCACCGUUGGAUCAUCGAUCGGUGGGCAAGGAAUCGAUCGUAUCCUCCCACCCCGCCCCAUCUUCGGAAGCGAUGGGAAAUCUUUCCAAAGCAAACGGAAAACGGCUUAAGCUGGAUCUGAAAACCCAUCCGGAACAACAGCACAAGCCGGAACCAACGUCACCGCUAGGGCUGUUGCACGAGGAAAAAGUGAUCGUCCGAAGCAAACCACCGAUUCCACCGAAACCGGAUGUAAGGACGAUCCCGGCACCGUCCCAGGGGCAACAGCGAGUGUCCAUUUCGCCGACCGGCACGCCUCAAGCAAAGGGCUGCAAGAAGCAGCAGGUGACAGAAGCGCACAAUGCCCAUACCGUCCAGAAGCUGCUGGCACAGAACGAACAGAUGAGGCUGGAACUGAGCGAACUCCGAACGAGCUUAGCUGCGGAGCGGAAUGCCGUCAGAGUGUUAAGGGCCCAAAACGAGUCCGAACUGCGAAAGACAAAAUCCGAAUGCAAGAAACUGCAGGAAGCUCUGCAGCACCAGAAACGCCAUUCCCAGGCCCAGUGCCAGAGUGUGUCCGUGGGUGGUGGUACACCGGCCAAGCGGGCACACCGGGGCGGGUCGGGGGAACAUGAACUCACGAGCGGCUGGGGUUCGGAGUCGCGCGGUCAGCAGCAGCAGCAACAUCAGCAGCAAUGUUGUCUGGAAGUUCUGAAGCUGAAUCAGGAGAUUUCUGCCCUGCGGGAAACGAACAGGUUCUUAGAGGAAAAAUAUCAAAUUUCCUCCGAGGCUGAACGGCAGAAAGCUUCCGAUAUACGCGUACAGCGAGAUCUGCACGAACUACGAUUGACUCAACUUUCCAAGUCAGCUAGAAACGAAAUCCAGCGCAUGCUGGAAGAGCUGAAAUCGAAGGAUCGCAGCAUAGCACAGCUCAAGAAGGAGCUCCAGGCUGCGCUCGCUGCCCAGGCAGGAGCCGGUGGUGGUUGUCGCAAGGAGAGAAAGGCUGCUAAAAAUUCCGCUCAGCAAUCGCACGAGAUGCGAAAAUUGCGUGAGACAGAACCAUGUAGCGGAACUAUCAGCAAAAGCAACAGCAAUAACAGCAUCCAAUCCGUCACCGACGAUUACGAACAGCUGGACACGAAGGAAUCUCUGGAGCUGACUAUUGUCACCACGACAACCAAGACGACCGCCGUCCCGGCAGCGGAAGAAGCGUCGACACACGACGGCAGCUGCCGAACGACGCGGAACUCAAGUGAAACACAGGCUAAUAAUCUAGACCUAGCGAUAGAAACGACGACGUGCGGCAACGAUGAGGUUGAACGGCCGACGCUGCCGCACGAAUUAUGUAAACGAACCAAGGAAGCUCACAGCAACGAAAGUAGUGGUGCCAGUAGCGUAGUACUAGAGUCUAAGAUCACGCCGCCCUAUCUUGCGACGGGAGCAAUAAACACAUCAGCACUGCAAUCGAUCGUCUCAGUCGAGUGCCAGCAGGCGUCUCUCGGUUCCGAUACGGACUCGGCCCUCUCCUCGAUGAGUCCGCAGCCGAACAGCUUCACCGGCGACUCGCCGGACGACGAUCCGUGGAACGUCCAGCGGUCGGUGAUAGCUCGCGACGAUGGCAAGCUGGCGCGGAUCAAGCUGGAGCUGGAUGAGAUGCAGCAACGGUACGAUAUCCUCAACCGGGACUACGCGCUUGCCAAGGAACAGAUCGACCAGCUGGAGCAGGAGCUGGUGAAGGCAACACAAGCUUCGCGCGAACAGAGCAAACUGAACGAACGGAUUGCAUACCUCGUUAAGCGCGAGGAAGACCUGCUAAAGGAAAGUCACGAGCUGCGCGAGCAGAACGAACUGCUCGAGUUUCGAAUCAUCGAGCUCGAGGAAAGCCACGACAAGUGGUCUCUACGAAACAACUCAAGCCCAACGGUCGGCGGUGGAACGACAAAGGACGGCUGGACCGAUACGGAAAAGGAGCACGAUGAGCUGAUAAUGCUCUCGGAGCGAUCCGACUCCGGUGUCACCUCACCCAACAGCCAUCACCAUCUGGAGGACCAGCAGAGCGGCGUACCGUCGCCGUGCGAUCUCUCCCUGCUGGAUCAAAUUCCGACGGACGAUGUGCGCAAGCGGCUCAUCGCCAUGACCAAGCGCACGUGCUACGACGAGGAGGACAAGCUGUGUCUGCUCCAGAUCCUGUCGCUGCUGAACAAUCUCGAGGCCCUGUCGCAGGACCAUGAGAUUGCCGGCGACGACAUGAGCCUGGAGUCGCCCAUCCAAAAGUACAACUAUAGCCUCCCGGACAGCAGCACACCGCCGAGGGCGCUGCUGCAUUCGGCCGCGGCCGCUGUGAUGAAUAGCUCCACGCCGUUCAAGGCUGCCGGUGGCAAGAUUGUCGCUACCGUGCAGCCGUUCCACAGCUCGGACCAGCAUGCGGCCGCGCCCGUACCGCCACCGAAAGCACCCUCGAUUGCCUCGAUCGCGGAAACGUUCGGUGGCAUGAAGAAAUCGUCGCGCUGGAACAACGCCACCAGCUUGCAGGAGAGCGGCGUGUUUGUGGACGAACCGUGCACUCACGUUUCCACCCAGACGGAAGCGGACGACUUCCCGGCGCUGGAAAAGACGAACGCCGAGCUGUGUGCCGAGAUAGAGAAGCUGAAUCGAUUCCGGGAGAAGAUCGAGGAGUGCAAGGGCGUAGCGGUGGCAGCUGUUUGCAAAACGCCCAGCAAGGGUUCGAUGCUGGCGCUGAACAUACCGCCCCCGACCGGGGAUGAAGCGUGCGACCGGCGCCGACUGCAGUUCUACGUCGAGCGGGCGGAGAUGCUGGAGAACAAGCUGAAGGUGUACGAGAGCAGCGGCGACCAGCAGCUGCGCCAGCUGGCGCAGCGAUUGCAGCGCGAGGUACAGCUGGAAGGUUGGGUGAAGGAGCUGUCGGAGAAGCUCGGCCGCGUGGAGCUGGAAAACGAGCGACUGGAGGAGGAACGCUGCGAGCUGGAGGAGAUCGAGAACGACACCCGGUUGCGGUUGCAGCGGCUGGAGGAAGAUCUGGAAGUCAUGGGCCAGCGGAACGAGGAGCUGGAAAUGUCGCGCAGCUCGUACCAGUCCAAGUACCAGGACGCGAAGGAAAACAUCGACAGCCUGGAGGAGCUGAUUCACAAGUACGAGGAGAAGAUCUUCCUGCUGGAGGAGAACGAAAACGAGCUGCGGGAGAAGAUCGAGAUCAUUUACAUGUUCAUACCGAUGCUGCUGCUCUACAACAGCUGGCAGCUGCACGAACAGUUCAAGCAGCACCAGGCAGCAACGCUGACACAGCAGCAGAAACAGUCCCGACCGCCGACGCUAUCCUACGCCGAGUCGCACGCCAUCCAGUGCAUUCCCACUGACCACAUCGACUACUACGAUAGUGGCAGCUCGCAGGCGGACGAUCUGCAGAACCGGCUGAGCGAGCUGAUGAGCCGCGAAAAGGAGCUGACGCAGAACAUUGCCGAGCUGAACCGGGCGUACAACGAAACGCUCGAAAAUGCGGACAAUCUGUGGGCACAGAUGGAGCGCGAGUACAAGGAAAAGAUCAGCCGGUGCGAGCAGGAGGAGGCCACCCUCAAGUCCAAGAUCGCCCAGCUCGAGGAGCGGCUGAGCAAGGACAGUGAGUACGCGAGCGAGCGAAUUGCACACCUCGAGGAAGCGGAAAGCAGCCUCAAGAGUCGCGUCAGCCGGCUGGGAAAGGAGAACAAGGAGCUCUCCGCUAAGCAUGGUGCGCUGGUGGAGGAGUACGGCACGCUCAAGGACGAUUAUGCCAAGCUGCAGAACUACCUGCGCGGACCGGCUGCGGAAGCGCUGGAGCGCGAGAAGAAGCGUGUGCUGGCGCUGGAAGACGAGCUGGCGCACACCGAACAGAUGCUGCGCGAUGGCGAAGAAUCGCACCGUGCCGAGGUGGGCUCACUGCGCGGUCGUUUGCUCAACUCGACCAAGGAGCUGAACCACAUCGAGGUGACGAACAGUGAGCUGCGCGAGGAGGUAGAAACGCUUGAGGGACGCAUCCGCGAGCUGAUGUCGCAGCGUGGCAGUGACGAGGAGCGCAUCAAGCAGCUGACGGAAGAGCUGGAAGCGAAGCAGUCGCAAAUUGUUGCACUCCAACACGCACGCAAGGCUGGUGGACCCGGUACCGGUAGUAGCCGGGCAACGGUUGGACGCAGCUUGGCACAGGAGCUCGAGCGUCCGCUCAAGGGUACCUACACACGCCACGGCUACGAGGUGCAUCCACUGGGCAGGAAGUUUCCCGACAGCGACAGCAGUGGCAGCGGUAGCGAGGAUCGAAGCAAGUUUCCGCACACGAGACCAUCGGCAUUUGAAACCAAAGAAGUGAAGAGCCUUGCGGAGACGAUCAUUCUGAAUGCCGAAAGCAGGGGAAUGAAGACGCCAAAGAAAUCGUUUGUUGAGGAGGCACGCAGCCGAUUCGCCCGGUGGGUGUGAGAUGCUGAAUCCUGGACCCGAGUGGACAGGAUGUCCCGAACUCCCGAAUCUGCCAAAUUUUGCUGGAAUAAGUACAAUACCCCUACCCCCAUCCCUGCACGGGCCAUCUUACUGGUGUGUUCCCUCGAGUGAUCUCGGACAACGGACCGUUGCUUGCCCUGAAAACAACCGCCAAGCAACAGUGUUACCAUCCCAGCGCACACGUUACACAUCCUUCCAACACGCACACGUUACACUCGGACACGAACUCAGACAUGCAACAAGUGCAAGCCUUUUUGGGGUUUGGAUGUAAUGUUUGUGUUGUGUCGUAGAAGCGCAUCUUCGGCUGUGAAGUUGAAGGUUGUGUCACACCCCUCCCUCAACCAUCCCUGUUCGCACAGCAUCCUUUGAUCCUUGUAGCGCACCCUUCCCGCUUUGUCCCGGACUUGCCAACAGGUCAACGUGAUGAACUGAUACAAACCGCCACCCGGAUAUGCGAUCCCGCAACAGGCGCAGGAAAUCUGAAGUGAAACUCCUUCAGCCCAGCAUCACCAGCAGCAGGACAAUCGGUAACACUCUCCGCCGUUUUUUUAAUGCUCUAGGACGUCCGAUAUCGGAGCCGAAACAAAUCUUCAUCAAGCACUCCUUCCUGCAGCUUCUGGUCGGCCAUUUUACCACCUCCCAGUGCAAAGGUGGACUCGAACAUGCGUCGCCAAGGCAGAAGCGCGCCGGCAGAAGGGCCCGGAAAUGAGGAGAAGAAAAAAUCUAGUCGUUGUUUUUGUUGAAUGUGUUUAUUUUUGAGGUACUAUAAAACAAAGUAGUGUUAGACGUUAGCAAUGAAAGCUGCAGCAGUAACGACUGCAGAAGAUAGGCGGUACAAAGGCGAUCGUUCGAUCGUAGUGCGUUACUGGCAUGGCUGCUCUUGUGUAGAGAGCCUGGUGUUUGCCCAUGGCAACGGAUCGACAAUGCAUGCGCACACCAUUCAAUUACGAUGUACUCCCAUAACCAGACUCUGUAAUAUAGACUGAACAGUAGUAGAUGGUUGGCAGCAGUUGACAGCUUUUAGAUCGUAUCGUUUUUUUUAAUAAUUAAACUCUAGUUUGAGCGUUCAUGUUCGUUGCGUUUACAGUUUGAAUGAUAAGUUCUCAGCUUAAGCGAGUUAGUUUUGCUAAGCUUUUUGUUUGCCUUUCAUCCAAACCACCUACGGAAGAGCUUCAGUUUGCAGUUAGUAAAUAUUGGUUCGUAUUUUGUAUAAUUUUGCCCAUUUCUGUAUGAUUGUGAGUUGCUUUUAGAGUUUUUGAUUUAAUUUUACCAUUCGUUUGUGUACAGUAUGCUUGCGUUAGUUUGUGUUUUUUGUAACAUAUUUUAUGAUAUCCGAUGGGUUGGCUGGUAAAUGUCGUCCUUCCCACGGGAAGGACAGUCCGAUGGCUAGUAGUUCUUUGUGCUAUUCUAUAUACGACUAUAACGGUUGAAACAAAAUAAGCAGUUAUUUUUCGUGGCGAGCCAUGCAAGCGAGCAAUGAUCCGUCAACCGACCCGGUCGGUAUUAUCGGUCAUGGUGCUUUUGAAUCGAUUUUGUGCCUUCAGCAUCGAUUGAAGGAUCGAUCCUUAGUACGUUCGUUCCCCGAAACGGGAACUGGUAAACGAUCAGUACCAGCUACCUGCGUUCCACCGGGACGCAGUGCGAACUUGUGAGCUUCCAGGGUAUUAUUUAAACGUGUUACUACAAACUGAUAUGUAUGUCCCACAUUAAUCAAUUGUUCAGGUUUUGUAUAAAGUGAACAUGUAGAGACAGUGAGUGAGUUGGAAAGCGAGAAAGUGGAGAAAGAAUGAGUGAGAAGCAGAGAAAAAGAAAGAAAAUAAUAAACAAAUAUACGCCGUAGUUGUGGUAGUGAACAAUUAUAA